AGAGUGAAUAGUCGGUGCAUUGUGAAGCAAGCCGAGGCUAGUAUACAGCCUGAGUUUGAUCCAAUCUAAACUUCACGAUCACAAUUCACGAUGAUCACACCGUUAGCUGUAGUGAUGUUUGUAGUAAUUGGUUUGCUGCAUGUUGGAGCAGGCCAUUCGAACGACUUUGAUGCGAUAAAAGGCUGUAAACAGUAUAACACCGAGAUGGGAUACAAUGAUCCACUGGAAUACAUCCCUACCAGCAGCCUACUGUAUAAAUUCAAUAAUACAGUUGAUCAUGGUGAAUUUCAGUACUACAAAAUCGGAGUUCAAGGAACGACUUAUGUUUUUAUUCGGCUGUCAAAUCAUGUGUACCCUUACGACCAAGAGUUGUCUGAAAUUGUGCUGGGUAGUAAUAACAACACGAGAUCGAGCGCUCGGACACAGUACAGGAAUUCGGCAAAUGAAUACAAAAAUACCGAUUUGGCUAGGGUGAUGACACCGAAUCUUUUGUCCCCGUUUCGUCCAGUCAUGCUGAAACUCAAGGUGUGGGUCAACGGCAAGAAGGAAGUCUUUCACGAUGGAGAACACUAUCCUUUCUUAAGCUAGCUCUUAAGCACUAUACUACAAAGGUAGUCCCCCUAUAUAUGGCAUUUACUAAAGUUAUAGAUAAUUUGGUUUUCUUCAACGAUUGCCCAAUGUAAAGUGAUUGUUGAGUAGACUCAUAGUGUGAUUAUGGGAUAUAGUAUUCUUAUGGGUUUUAUACUUCAUAUAAUAUAAAGAAAUAUUGCAUCUUA